GACGAACGCUGGCGGCGUGCUUAAUACAUGCAAGUCGAACGGAAAGGCCCUGCUUUUGUGGGGUGCUCGAGUGGCGAACGGGUGAGUAACACGUGAGUAACAUGCACUUGUAUUUGGGAUAACUUCAGGAGACAGGGGAUAAUACAGCAUAGGAGCUCCUGCUGCACAGUGGGGGAUGGAAAGUUUCGGCGGUUGGGGAUGGACUCGAGGCUUAUCAGCUUGUUGGGGAGGUAGUGGUUGACCAGGGCUUUGACGGGUAGCCGGCCUGAGAGGGUGACCGGCCACAUUGGGACUGAGAGACGGCGCAGACUCCUACGGGAGGCAGCAGGGGAGAGUAUUGCACAGUGGGCGGAAGCCAGAUGCAGCAACGCCGCGUGCGGGAUGACGGCCUUCGGGUUGUAAACCGCUUUCGCCUUUGACGAAGCGUGAGUGACGGUAAUGGGUAAGGAAGCACCGGCUAACUACGUG
rnacentral:rRNA from 1 species